rnacentral:rRNA from 1 species
UACGUAGGGGUGCGAGCGUUGUCCGGAAUUAUUGGGCGUAAAGGGCGCGUAGGCGGCUUGGCAAGUGGAUGGUGAAAUCCCUCGGACUUAACCGAGGAACUGCCAUCCAGACUUGCUUUGCUUGAGGCCGGGAGAGGUGAGUGGAAUUCCCAGUGUAGCGGUGAAAUGCGUAGAUAAUUGGGAGGAACACCGGUGGCGAAGGCGGGCCAACUGGACUGGUAUUGACGCUGAGGCGCGAAAGCGUGGGGAGCAAACAGG